UACGGAGGGUGCAAGCGUUGUUCGGAAUUACUGGGCGUAAAGGGCGCGCAGGCGGCCUGUCAAGUCAGGUGUGAAAGUCCACGGCUCAACCGUGGAAGUGCAUCUGAAACUGGCAGGCUUGAGUAUGGGAGAGGAAAGUGGAAUUCCCGGUGUAGAGGUGAAAUUCGUAGAGAUCGGGAGGAACACCAGUGGCGAAGGCGACUUUCUGGACCAAUACUGACGCUGAGGCGCGAAAGCGUGGGGAGCAAACAGG
rnacentral:rRNA from 1 species